UACGUAGGUGGCAAGCGUUGUCCGGAUUUAUUGGGUUUAAAGGGUGCGUAGGCGGCCUUGUAAGUCAGUGCUGAAAUAUCCCGGCUUAACCGGGAGGGUGGCAUUGAUACUGCAGGGCUUGAGUAAAGUUGAGGUUGGCGGAAUUGACGGUGUAGCGGUGAAAUGCUUAGAUAUCGUCAAGAACACCGAUAGUGUAGACAGCUUACUAAGCUUUAACUGACGCUGAGGCACGAAAGUGUGGGGAUCAAACAGG
rnacentral:rRNA from 1 species